AUUACCUAAAAACACAAAGAAAAGGCUACGGUUAAUGUAAAAUCCGCAGCGUUAAAUCAAACGCUAUGGUUUUUAUAACCCCGUAGCAUUUAUAAACUACCGUGCCCCCCCUCAAUUCACUCCCCUUUUUUCUGAGCUCAUUCCCUUCAAUACUCGGCAACCCACACCAAGGAUUCAACUCACUCACAUCGCAGCCGGUUCGGGUUGCCGCCGGUUUGUGUUGCCACCGAUUCGAGCCUUGCUUUUCCUCUUUCGUGGUUCCUCUCCAACCUCUCCAUUCAGGUGACUGUGUUGUGAUGUGCUCCUGCUCUGCCUCUCGAUUUCCCAGCAAAACCCUACUCCGCCCACUAUUUCCGCGCUGACUGCUGGAUCUCUAGCCUUAGCCAGCGAUACCUUUGCUCAGAUCUAACAACGAUGGACUUCUAUCACCCACAAAUCCGAUACUGGAUACUCUAAUAAGGUCGGUAUGCGGGUUUUGCUGAGUUUUAUUUUUUUCUAAAACCAUUUGGGUAAAAUCUCUGGAAUUGUAGGGUUUUUUUUUUUUUUUUUUUUUUUUUUUUUUUUUUUUUUUUGUGGAAUUGUUGUGUUGGGAAGAAAUUUAUUUGUUAAGUAGGUAUAUUUUGUGCCUUUUAUGGGUUUUGUUGAAUUUAUGGGCUUUCUAUCUCUUAUUUGCUUUGAUUUAAGGCGAGAACUGCAAAAAUUUGAUCUGAAAUUUGAUCGAGUUUGGGUACGGUUGGUGUUGAUUUUGUGUCUGUGCAGUGGGUUUGCAUGUGAAGAUCUGAAUUGUUUCUUCGCUUUGUCAUUGUUUCGAUUGGAUUAUCAUUGUUUCUUGUGAUUUUGUGCUCUAAUUUUAAUGGUUUUAGGGUUAUUAGGUUCGAAUAUUAUUAUUACAGUAUUUUAACCACUCUAAAUGAUCGUAAGGUAAUUGAAAUAAUUCAAAAUUGGAGUGAAGUUCAAUCAGAACAAUAAAACUUGGGAGAAGAUUGAAUUUGGUUUGGAUGGAUGUAUUUUACAAGAACGGCCAAACUUGAUUAAUGAAACUUUGUACUGGUCCCUCGUGCAAGUAUGUCUUUGCAUUACUUGUGGCGUGCAAUGUUGUGUCAUCGGAGGGUGCUUAUCUAACUCUAAAUAAUUUGGUAAUAGACAUUAUGAAAUGUCCAGGAGAUGUGAUUUCUGUUUGUUUUUCACGUCACUAUGGACGGAGUGAUAUCAAAGGCUUGAUUGGGUUUACAAAGAGUGGCAAGAUUAUUGUUGUUUUUCGAGAUCCUGUUUUGUUAGGUUUGGUUGAUUUAAGUUUAAAGCAGCUGCUUUUGAGGUUUGAUUGUCAGGGGAGAGAUGAGAUUGAUGUCAUGUUCUGAGUCAGAUUUCACCUUAUUCUCCAAUGGAUUUGACGAAUGAACUUGUACUCUGGUUGCAGUUAAGCUAGCUGUAGCAAAUAUUCAUGAACAUGUUCUCAUACAAAAUAGUGGGAACUUCUUUCUAAUUUGGAGAAGUUUUAGCAUUCUGUUUAUGAAAUGAUAUGUUCACUUCUGAUUAGAUAAAAGUAUCUCCCCCGAAAUUUGUUUCAUGCGUACUCAAAGUUUGCCGCCGAUCUUUUGCUAAUUAUUCUGUUCAGUUGCUUCUGCCUUCUUAUCAUUUAAUGCUUCAAUAUCUUUCUUUCUUUUUUUUCCCCACCAGCUUGUUGAUUAUAAGUAUUUGGCCACCAGAUUAUAAGUAUUUUGCAGGUAUUUCAUGGCUAUCCUUCUUAGGACAGCUUUCUGCAGGGUGGAAUGUUGCAGGCUUGCCGAUUAGCCGAGGCUUGAACAUGUAGUCAUUGGCAAGGGGCAAUUCAAGGCUGAAAGGACAUUGAGUAAUAUUAUCACCUGUUUGAUCAUUGUUGACCUUUUUUUGGAGUUAAUGCUCUUAUUUUCCUUACCCCCAAAUUGCAGGUUAUGAGUCCUAUCUCACUGCUCAACUUGCUGGGCAAUGUAUUGCAGUUGAUGCAUCAUGACAUUGAUGCGGCUUCUGUCUUUGAUGCUGCUGCCACUUCUGUGCUGCUGCUGUUCUGCCUCUGUGGUGCCCUAAGUCGGUUUUUUUGAAUGGCCAGUGCCUAUUUACCUUUUUCUACUAGUGAAAUGAUCGGGCAUGCUUGUGUUCGUAUUCGAUCAAACUGUCUAAAGUCCAUAUGUUGCUGUCCAAAGUUGAUGUUGUUGCUGUUUUCGUUUGUUGAAUAGACUGCUAGCCUUAUUUGUAAAAAGUUUACAUUGUAUAAUUAAGAUUAAUUCUAUGAAUUUUUUUUUCUAUA